GCGGUAAUAGCUCAGUUGGUAGAGCGUUGGCUUCCCAAGCCGAAGGUCGCGGGUUCGAGACCCGUUUACCGCU
rnacentral:tRNA from 1 species